rnacentral:rRNA from 1 species
UAAGGAAUAUUGGUCAAUGGACGCAAGUCUGAACCAGCCAUGCCGCGUGAAGGAAGACGGCCCUACGGGUUGUAAACUUCUUUUGUAAGGGAAAAAAUCUCCGGUCGUGAAUCGAAGCUGAUGGUACCGUAAGAAUAAGCAUCGGCUAACUCCGUGCCAGCAGCCGCGGUAAGACGGAGUAUGCAAGCGUUAUCCGGAUGCAUUGGGUUUAAAGGGUGCGCAGGCGGAAGGAUAAGUAAGUGGUGAAAGCCUCCGGCUCAGCUGUAGAACUGCCAUUGAUACUGUCGUUCGUGAGUACA